rnacentral:tRNA from 1 species
GGAGGGGUGGCAGAGCGGCCGAUUGCACCGGUCUUGAAAACCGGCAACACGAAAGUGUUCGAGGGUUCGAAUCCCUCCCCCUCCG